AUUUCCCAGAUACAGCUGAUCGAGUUCGCCGAGUGGCCGAGCGAGUGAGCGCUCCUCCGACUUGGGUGGAGGAAGGUGUUCUAACCGGGAUGUGACAGUUGAGGCUGGGAGCAGAAAUAAUCAACAUGCCCAUUAGAUACAGGACGGAAUAAUGCUUCUAUUGGUUGGGUCCCUUCGAGAGAGAACCAUUCUCUGCUUUCAAUAGGACAGAAGAGCUCCUUGGCACUGGAUGCCUCCGGGUCUGGUUGAGAGAGGAAUGGUUAGGAGACUGUUCUGAGGAUACGCAGACAUCAUCCAAAGCUUCCUACAUUCAGAUGAGGACAGAGGUUGGGCCAGAGCUUUGUAAGCUUGUUACCUAAGGAUGGUUCUGACCAUGUAAGCAGAUCACAGAAGAGCCAGCCUUGACAAUGUGCUGAUGGCAACCUAGAACAUAAGCAGAGGAGUAUACAGGACAAGAACUUGAUGGUCUCGGGAAAAUGGACAACAUGACUCAGGUGAAAAAGAUUGAUCAUCAGAUGUUUCUUAUGUAUCAACCUGAUAUUUAAAUCCAUGAAGGACAGAGACGACAAAGGCAGGUGGAAUAGAUAGAGAAGAGAUUCAAGGUCUGAGCUCUACAUUACUCAAACUGUUAGAGAUUAGGAAGAAGAGGAAGACCUGGCAAAAGAAUGUCCUGGGAUGUAGAAAGAAAACCAGAAGCUUGUGUUCUCUGGAAACCAAAUGAAGAAAGGGCUUCCAGAAGGACAGACAAAGUGUAGUGUGUCAAAGGCUCCUGAGCAAUCAGAGGAGAGCACAAAGGGGCUCACAGGACUUUGGUAUCUGGAUCACCCAGUGACACUUCCUGAUCACGAGAAACUGUCAGACCAACAGGGGCACUUUCUGAAACCAGCAGUUCUUCAGUGCCCAAAUGCAACCUUGAUGGUUUGAUUUUGGAGGAUGGCAAUUCAUUAACAGCACUCCCCAGUGAUAAAUAUGAAAACCAAUAAAACCCCCCACCCAAGGCAAUCUCUCCCAGCUCCUCGCUUUGAGUAAAGUGAGUAACCUCCAUUUCUGCCAACUCCUGUCUUGUCUGAAGCCACAUUUCCCCAGCAAUGUCACAUAUGCAUUUCUUGAUCCUGGUCAUUUCUCCUCUUGGGAGAUGAAUCAUAAAGAAAAUGAGAUCUGUGUGCCCUGGUGACUAUGGAUGCAAGAGUCUGCUGCCCUGGAGGGAACAGCUGGAAAAGUAGAUGGUGAAGACGUGUGGGGGGGAAACAGUGGAGAAGGCAUCUUUGCAGGGGAUCAAGGUGACAGAGUGAUUAGUUACACUGUUUUGACAUGUGAGAACAGGGGGUUAUAAAAAUGGAUACAGGAAGAGGGAGAGAAAGUAAGGACCAAAACAUGAAGCCAGUCAUGAAUGUUUUUACAUAAAAAGCAGCAGAUUUACGGCAAAUAUGUGAUGUUUCCACAUUUUCUGCCUCUAGUUAGCAGGGGCAGCACAAAGAGCAUUACUGUGGAGCUGAACUUUGGGUAAAAGAUUAACAGCCAGUCCUUUCUCUCCAGUGUCUGCUUCCUUCUGGGCUUGCCCUGGGGGAAAAGGAGGGCUGGCAUGGAUAUGCCUGCAGCCCUCACCCUAGAUGUUCUUCCACGCCUCUCUGUUCAUUCAUUGCUUAGUCAUUCCUCAGGCAUGGAUUGAGACCACUGUGUGCCCAGGACCGACCUGGCCUAGGAUGGACAUAGAGAUGGAAAAGGCACAGGGAGCAGGUGACAGAGACAAAUCAAGGUCAUGGAGAAUAGCAGAGUAAGAUAGAAGAUGAAGGCAGGAGAUGGGGUUCUUGAGAAAGCGAGAGCAGGACUGACCCGUGUCUGCCUCACCUGUUAUUGCUGUAGCCUCUUCUCCUUGGAGUAUCCCUCCUGCUCUUGCAUCACCUUAGGAACUUGGAUCAGAGAGGAAAGUUACGGCCUGGAUAUGUUGUAGUAGGAGGGGACAAACAUGUUUGGAGACAGAAAUGCUUGGGGAGCGGGUGUUUUUGGGGGAUGAGACUUUCCAGGUCUCUCAAUUCACACUAUGUAGGUAGUUCACUGCACAGCUUAAAUAAGAGACAACUCUCCGGAGUGGUUGGCUCUCAUCCAAAAAAUGUGUUUUGGGCCUCAGAUUUCCAACGGAAGGGCUGAAGCGUGACUGGCCUGAUGUCAACUACUGAAGUCCACCUGCCCCUGCCCUAUCAGGUGUGGAAAUGCUGGGGUUCCUCUCUCAGAACCUACUUCCUGAGAUGUCGAAAUAUACCCAAGAGUAUUUCUGGGCCUUCUCCAAUCCGAAACUGUUUAGUUUUUGUGUGUGUGUGCCUACUUGGCCACACUAGAAGACAGAGGUGGCCUGGGUGAAAUGCAGGUUUCUAGAGGCUCUCUGACAAAGCUCAGGCCACCAGCCCCAGGCCAGCCUGUGGGUAGUCCUGGCUGACAGUCACUUCAUACCUCACCUGGGCUUUUUGCCAAAUUCAAAGUGUGUGUAUAUGUGGAGUGCUGGGUUCCCACCACUGACAGUCUGUA
rnacentral:lncRNA from 10 species